ACUGAGUGUACAAAUCCUCUCUUGUGAGCAAAGAUUAAUCAAUGUUUGCCUUUGUGCGAUGAUAGUUUCUUCCAAUCGCCACACAGGUGUUAACAUAUCUUGAACGAUUUGGACCUCAAGCAUUGGAGCGGAUCUGAUCUGCUACAGGUAUUUCUCUACCACUUCGAGUAACUCACCUUCAACUUCACUUCUCUACUGUGACGGGUGUUUAUUUUCAUCCUCUAUGGUUCAGAAGGUCCAGUUAGCUGUCGGGGACAAGAUCCCAAAUCGGAGGGAAUAGAAUAUGUCAAUCUAAUGUUGAAGCGAGCCACCUCAGUUGAAGUACUGAUAUCAGGUAUACUAACACCAUUUAAAAUAAUUAUCCAAUUCAUUAUCUAUCCUUCA
rnacentral:lncRNA from 1 species